rnacentral:sRNA from 1 species
UAGUUUGGUAAUAGCAUCCGAUAUGUGA